CUUUCCACGUUGCACAAGCCCAGCACAGGGUACCCAUUGGAUGUGCCCGAGGCCUCCAGAGGGAAGGAAAGGAGGAAAAGGGACAGAAGAAAUGUUCACAGGAACUACAUAUGGGCCUGCUACUUGUGUCAAAAUGUGACUGAACUCUCUUCCAGCAGGUGUGGGGAAAAGAGUGACUUCACCUUAAAUGUUAAUCUGCCAUGUAACUUCUGACUAAUCCCAGGUCCAGAAAUGCCUCCAAAUGUCUUGUUGCUGUAUUACUCUUUAUGUGGAAACACCCAUUCCCUGCUAUUUCGCUGAACUGAAGCAGUCAAAAGAGAAUGCUCAUGAGAUCCCAUCACCACCACUUUACCAAACUACUUCCAUAUGUGACUAUUUACUCUUUCUUCUUUUCUAUUAUUAUUGAUGAACUGGCCAUGUUCAUAGCUAAGGUGGAUCCUGCCACUUAGUAUUAGAUCUUAUCUACCCUUUCUCACACUGAAAUACUGUUCCAAGAAUUCUUUUCUUUUAUCAUUACUUUUCCCUGUCUACUAGUGUAAUAAGUAUAGAAAUAUGCUGUUAUUUUCCCAUAUUAAAAAAUUCUCUUGAGUAGGAAGCUCA